rnacentral:rRNA from 1 species
UACAUAGGUCUCAAGCGUUGUUCGGAUUCAUUGGGCGUAAAGGGUGUGUAGGUGGCGCGCUAAGUCGGGUGUGAAAUUUCGGAGCUUAACUCCGAAACUGCAUUCGAUACUGGCGUGCUUGAGGACUGGAGAGGAGACUGGAAUUCAUGGUGUAGCAGUGAAAUGCGUAGAGAUCAUGAGGAAGACCAGUGGCGAAGGCAGGUCUCUGGACAGUUCCUGACACUGAGACACGAAGGCCAGGGGAGCAAACGGG